UACGGAGGGUGCAAGCGUUGUUCGGAAUCACUGGGCGUAAAGGGCGUGUAGGCGGUCCGCUAAGUCUGAUGUGAAAGCCCGGGGCUCACCCCCGGAAGGGCAUUGGAAACUGGCGAACUCGAGUCCCGGAGAGGAGGGUGGAAUUCCCGGUGUAGCGGUGAAAUGCGUAGAUAUCAGGAGGAACACCGGUGGCGAAGGCGGAUCUCUGGGCCAUUACUGACGCUGAGGAGCGAAAGCGUGGGGAGCGAACAGG
rnacentral:rRNA from 1 species